GUCGAACGGAGUACUUCGGUACUUAGUGGCGGACGGGUGAGUAACGCGUGAGGAUCUGCCCUCAGGAGGGGGACAACGACUGGAAACGGUCGCUAAUACCCCAUAUGCCGAGAGGUGAAAUGUUUUUUCGCCUGAGGAUGAGCUCGCGUCAGAUUAGCUAGUUGGUGGGGUAACGGCCUACCAAGGCGACGAUCUGUAGCUGGUCUGAGAGGAUGAUCAGCCACACUGGGACUGAGACACGGCCCAGACUCCUACGGGAGGCAGCAGUGGGGAAUUUUCCGCAAUGGGCGAAAGCCUGACGGAGCAAGACCGCGUGAGGGAUGACGGCCUAAUGGUUGUAAACCUCUUUUCUCUGGGAAGAUAAUGACGGUACCAGAGGAAUAAGCCUCGGCUAACUCCGUGCCAGCAGCCGCGGUAAUACGGAGGAGGCAAGCGUUAUCCGGAAUUAUUGGGCGUAAAGCGUCCGUAGGUGGUUAAUCAAGUCAGCUGUUAAAGAGCGGAGCUUAACCCCGUUAGAGCGGUUGAAACUGAUUGACUAGAGUUUGGUAGGGGNNNAGGGAAUUCCCAGUGUAGCGGUGAAAUGCGUAGAUAUUGGGAAGAACAUCGGUGGCGAAGGCGCCUUGCUGGGUCUGCACUGACACUGAGGGACGAAAGCUAGGGGAGCGAAAGGGAUUAGAUACCCCUGUAGUCCUAGCCGUAAACGAUGGAUACUAGGCGUUGUCCGUA
rnacentral:rRNA from 1 species